CGUAGUCUCGCACAGAUGCAUAUCAAUAAGCGGAGGAAAAGAAACUAACAAGGAUUCCCUCAGUAACGGCGAGUGAAGCGGGAAGAGCUCAAGUUUGAAAUCUUGAAAGGUCACCUUUCACGAAUUGUAGUUUAAAGAAGUGUUUUCUGUUACGAUCGUAAUAUAAGUUCUUUGGAAUAGGACAUCACAGAGGGUGAGAAUCCCGUCUAUGAUUGCGAUUUGUAGCUUUGUGAUACACUUUCAAAGAGUCGGGUUGUUUGGGAAUGCAGCCCAAAACGGGAGGUAAAUUUCUUCUAAGGCUAAAUAUUGGCGAGAGACCGAUAGCGAACAAGUACCGUGAGGGAAAGAUGAAAAGAACUUUGAAAAGAGAGUUAAAUAGUACGUGAAAUUGUCAAAAGGGAAGCGUUUAACACCAGUGUUGUUUUCUGAAAAUCAACCUCUGUUAGCUUUAUGCAUGUUUGUUUAGACCUAAUCAGCUAUCUUGCAUGUUCUAUUGUUUGCAGUGGUGCACUUUUCAGUUUACAGGUCAACAUCAGUUUUUUUUACCGUAAAAAAGUUAAAGAAAGGUAGCUCAUGGCUCCGGUCGUGAGUGUUAUAGUCUUUUUCCUAUGCGGUAGGAGAGACUGAGGUCUGCAGUGUAGGCUAUUUGGCUAGAUACUCAGGUGCUAUGUGAUACCAUUUCAUAAACAACUUGUUGAUUAUGUUUUGUCUAUUGCAUACUCGCUUGUACUAUCAUACCUACGCUUAGGAUGUUGAAGAUGUAGCACAUCAU
rnacentral:rRNA from 1 species